rnacentral:tRNA from 1 species
GAAGGUGUGGUUCAGCUGGCAGAGUGCCUGCCUAGCAUGCAUGAAGCCCUGGGUUCAAGCCCCAGCACCAGUA